CUCCAGUGCCCAGAAGCCUGUCUAACAAACACCUGGCAUUCACUUGAGCUCUGCUGAAUAGAGAAUGACUGAAUGAACACCAGACCUUAAGUUGCCACCUGCUCAUAUCCCACUGCAAGCUCUACAUGAACUCAAACUGUGGCAAAGACGCAAAGCCAGGAGAAAUUGUCUCGACAACCAAAACAAUCUGUAAACUUGGAUCAAGAGGACCCAUCAAUGACAAGAAUACACACGAAAAUCUUUUGGCCACUCUUGAAACAGAUCAUUCUAAUCAACAGGCAAUAACAGUGGGGACACCUGGGCCACAAUAAACCCUUUCACAACUGUGCCCUUUACCUUGGGCCCUCAUAGCCCCUCUGCUGGGAUUUGCAAGUCCUCUUCAACAAGGAGUUCCCAAACCAAGGGCCAAGACACAUCUGGAGACUGUCUCUUGGGUUUGACAGUUGUACUUUUAAGCAUUCCUGCCCUUCUGGUUUCUUGAUCCUUUGGCUCAUUUAUGAGAAGCACUGUGUAAUCAUCUGACCCUGAGCCAAGAACAGAGGCCUACAGAGGCCCUGGCUAAUGUGGGAACUAAGCUUUCAGCUUUGUGGGCUGAGUCUGCUGAGCUAAGCAGCUUCCUAGGACUGUCAGAGGAUUGGUGCUACUUAAGUGCAGUUGUUCUAUUACACUCUUUUCUAUGAGUUGGAUGAGCCUUUGCGGAUUAAACAGUUGUUUGCACUUCCCCAGUUCCACGCUGACUUUUAUAACAUAUCACCAAAAGGUGUUUCACAUUGAAUGGAGUGUUAUAAGGUUCCAUAUGGUGAGGUAUGGUUUCCUCCUGCCUGGAGUUCUGAAUCAUUCUGCAAUUUGUGUGAAUCUGCUUUGCUAUCAGGUAAUGAAAUAAAAUGUACAAUUGGUCAGAUUUUUUUUUUUGAAAGAGCAACUGCCUACAUUUUAUCCAGAAGGUGCCAGAUAGUGAGUAGGUUGAUUAUGGAUGGCUGUCAAGCAGAUGGCACUAUGUAACAAGCACUGAUUUAAAAUCAAGGAUGAUUGUGUUCUGGGGCUCACUGCCACCACCAGUUUCCCCGAGAUAAUUCUCAAGUAACUCCUCUUUGGAUAAAUCUUCCCUGACCUCUCUACUCCCUCCCUUUCCCCCAGUCUGGGUUUGAUACCCCUCCCCCCUGCUCCUGUAGUACCCUUAACUUUAUGAAGUACUUGAAACAACGAUAAAGUGCAAACACAAUGGAAGGUAGAAUGAGGAUGUAAAACACUUUGAUGUUUCAAAAAAUAGUAUUUCUCAUCACUUCUAGUUUAAAGUCUCAUCGUUCAUGUCAAUACGAUCCCACCAAGGUAACUAUGUUUCUGGUAUUUUAGCCUCAUUGAUUCUGGAUUCUCCUCUCUAGGUUCUUGAAGAUGGGGCAAGGUACUGUCCCAACAUCAGAGGAAGGAUGUCCAUAUCCUUCUGGUUCCUGUGCUAUUCUUGAUCCUUACUGGCCUCCAAGUAGAAGGCCCUUGCUCCAAGGGUCCCUCACCAUCCCAUUCUGGCAUAUGGUGAGGUAUGCCUGGCCCUGCCAGAUCUUUGGGAUGUGGUGCUGGCUGUCACUGCUGAAGUCCAUGGCCCCUCUGCCACCUUCCUCUGAUACCACUAAACUCAGCAAAGAAGACUGGAGAUGUAUGUUACACAUGUGACUAUUGUAAUGAAUUCAGAUAUGCUUUUCUUCUGAUACAGAAAAUAUUUUAUAAUUAAAAGAAGAUGGUUCCUUAUAUAUGUGCCUUUUCAAUGGCCAUCAACAAUUCAUAGCUACAGAUUCUGCUAUGUCUGCAUAGCAACAGACUCAGUCUGCUUAUACCUUAUGAAUUAUAAAUUUACUCAUGGACGAGUGUGUGUUGUUCUCUCAAAGGUUUGAUUAUUUAGAUUCAUUAAGUGUUGUACUCGAAAGAAAUAAGACUGGUAACUGUAUUUUAAUAAAGUAUUUAAAUACCUAAA